AACGCACAUUGCGCCCCUUGGUAUUCCAUGGGGCAUGCCUGUUCGAGCGUCAUUUACACCCUCAAGCUCUGCUUGGUGUUGGGCGUCUGUCCCCGCUUCGUGCGCGGACUCGCCCCAAAGGUAUUGGCAGCGGUCUUGCCAGCUUCUCGCGCAGCACAUUGCGCUUCUCGAGGCUCCGGCGGAUCGGCGUCCAUCAAGUCCACCCCACAGUUUGACCUCGGAUCAGGUAGGGAUACCCGCUGAACUUAA
rnacentral:misc_RNA from 1 species